AGAGUUUGAUCAUGGCUCAGAUUGAACGCUGGCGGCAUGCUUUACACAUGCAAGUCGAGCGGCAGCGCGGGGGCAACCCUGGCGGCGAGCGGCGAACGGGUGAGUAAUGCAUCGGAAGUACCCUGGAUGGGGGAUAACGCCGCGAAAGCGGCGCUAAUACCGCAUAUGCUCUGAGGAGGAAAGUGGGGGACCGCAAGGCCUCACGCUCUGGGAGCGGCCGAUGUCCGAUUAGCUAGUUGGUGGGGUAAAGGCUUACCAAGGCGACGAUCGGUAGCUGGUCUGAGAGGAUGAUCAGCCACACUGGGACUGAGACACGGCCCAGACUCCUACGGGAGGCAGCAGUGGGGAAUUUUGGACCAAAUGGGGGCAACCCUGAUCCAGCCAUGCCGCGUGAGUGAAGAAGGCCUUCGGGUUGUAAAGCUCUUUUGGUCGGGAAGAAAGCGCCUUGCCUAAUACGCGAGGUGGUUGACGGUACCGGCAGAAUAAGCACCGGCUAACUACGUG
rnacentral:rRNA from 1 species